GGAAAAACAAAAGGCAGUGAGUUCUCUCAGCCAAUUUCUCAGCCAAUUACAGGUCAACCUUCUCGUCUACCCCGCUCACUGUUGCGCUUGACUGGUCUUUG
ensembl:misc_RNA Y_RNA Y RNA